CUGAGGUCCAGUGCACUCAAUUUGUUACAGGUCUGUGUCUAGAGCAUUGGAGGCCUCAAGCCUAAAUUACUGCAGCCACCAGUCGGUCCUGAGUAAGGAUUCAGUUCACAUGUAAGGUCCUGCUGUCACCAUCCGGAUAUGAAACAGUGAUUGGAGACGCGAAGUUAGCGUCCCGGAGCUCCAUGAUCACGGGGGAACUUAUGAUUUUUUAGGGGAGGACUCUACCUUCAGCCCCUCCCCGGAAAACCCACUAGGAGAGGUGGGAGAAAACGCCAUAGGUCAAGGAAGAAGGGGAAGAACAACAAUCCCCGCUUUCAACACAGAAAGAAGUAGUGGACACUGUGAUCACCAUAUCUUCAUGUGCAUUGACAGAUACUCAGAAUUUGAAGUUAUGUGAAAAUGGAAGAUGCCCAUGCGACCGCUUUGGAUAAUUUUACUAUGAAUUCAGCUAAUAUUUAAUGUACAGUGUUGUAGUUAAUAAAGUGAUGGUGACAACUUAGG